rnacentral:lncRNA from 1 species
ACCGCCGAGAGGGGGAAUUGAAGGAAUAGGAGGUGCCAGUUCAGUUUAUUGCUUAGGGCAUGCGAAUGUGCAACACUUACCUGUGCAUGUCUGCCUGCGGAAUUUGCACUGCAUGGGAUGUUGGGACGUUUGCUUUGUGUUGCAAUCGUGGCUGCCGGGUUUGCUCACACAUGUUUUGCCUUCUCUUACAGUGCAAACGUGCUAAAGUAAUUGUUCAUUGAUGACAGGCGUAUUGUGGACCAUUGAACUCCUUCAUCUUGCAAACGAACUUUUACGUGACAAAUGAAUGGACUACUGCUGCAAUACAUCACUGGGGCAAUCCUAA